UAAUUAAGAAGUUUCUUUCUCCGUUUCUAAGAGCCACGUGUCAUUGUUUCUCUCUCUCCUUCUCGUCGCCUCCCUCCUCUCCUUCUCUUCGUCUUCUCCUUCUCUACUUCUCUCUCGACGGCCACUACACCAGAGGACACGACCGUGUCAGAAGCUUCACCACAAGAACGAAGAAUCUAUUUAAAACGCAUCCACUGCCCAAACUUUCUCUCAUCUACGAACCAACCAGCCAAGCCAGCCUCUUGAGAUUUCCGAAGAGACAUGUAAUAUAGUGUGGAGAUGUCGUUCAUUGAUUAGGCUUUGAUUGUUUGUGGCUAGCAGCAGCUUAUGGCUUCGAGAAGAAUUAACAAAGAGCUUAGGGACCUGCAAAAGAACCCUCCUGUGUCUUGCAUUGCCGAUAUGCUUUCAAGUGUCACCGGAAAUCCGAGGAUGGAAGGGACAUUGUCUACCCCGUAAAUGUGAUCGCCUUCCAUCCGAUUUAUGGAACUUUUGCUACGGGAGGUUGUGACGGUUUCGUCAACGUUUGGGAUGGUAACAACAAGAAGAGUAUAUCAGGUUUAGCAGUGACAACAACUUGCGUCUUUUCUUCUGAUUAUAGCUCAAGCUAAUGUGUCUAGUUAGUGAAAACUGAAUCUUUUUGAUGCAUAUCCACACUUAAGUAUUUAUCAACAUUAUACUAAAAAACAACAUAAAAGUUUCUACCAAUAAUCUGUAUAUUUGCUUGUGUUUCUUAGCAUUGUCUCUUAAUCAAAAUAUAAUAAUAAAAAAUGCUAAGAUACAUUAAUAUUGUCCCUGCAAUA